rnacentral:rRNA from 1 species
AACGAACGCUGGCGGCAGGCUUAGCACAUGCAAGUCGAGCGCCCCGCAAGGGGAGCGGCAGACGGGUGAGUAACGCGUGGGAAUGUACCCUUUGCUACGGAAUAGCUCCGGGAAACUGGAAUUAAUACCGUAUGUGCCCUUCGGGGGAAAGAUUUAUCGGCAAAGGAUCAGCCCGCGUUGGAUUAGCUAGUUGGUGGGGUAAAGGCCUACCAAGGCGACGAUCCAUAGCUGGUCUGAGAGGAUGAUCAGCCACAUUGGGACUGAAACACGGCCCACACUCCUACGGGAGGCAGCAGUGGGGAAUAUUGGACAAUGGGCGCAAGCCUGAUCCAGCCAUGCCGCGUGAGUGAUGAAGGCCUUAGGGUUGUAAAGCUCUUCCACCGGUGAAGAUAAUGACGGUAACCGGAGAAGAAGCCCCGGCUAACUUCGUGCCAGCCGCCGCGGUAACAC